ACUGGCGCCAAGGCCAGCCAGGAUGCCGAGGUCGACUUCCUGAGCGUCAAGCUGGUGACGCACCCGCUGUGUGUGCAGGACAUUCACCGGCUGUGCGCCGGCGAUAAUAGCAUCGCGCUCAACGACAACACGCCCAACCUGGACAUCAUGAGCUGCCUGCUCGACCAGCAGGAGGAGGAAGAAGAUGCUGGGGUAUCUCCACAGUGCCACCACGUACUCUGGCAGCUGCGCCACAACCUGACCCGCAGCGCCAGCAUCGUGCGCGCGCUCAACACACUCUGUCCGGGUCAGAAGUUUGCGGGCUG